CCUACGGGCGGCAGCAGUGGGGAAUAUUGCGCAAUGGGCGAAAGCCUGACGCAGCGACGCCGCGUGAGGGAUGAAGGUCUUCGGAUUGUAAACCUCUGUCAGCAGGGAAGAACGGUCACUGUGCUAAUCAGCAGUGAAUUGACGGUACCUGCAAAGGAAGCACCGGCUAACUCCGUGCCAGCAGCCGCGGUAAUACGGAGGGGGCGUGCGGUAAUCGGAAUUACUGGGCGUAAAGCGCUCGUUGGCGGUAUGUCAAGUCAAGGGGGAAAUCCCCGCGCUCAACGUGGGAACUGCCUUUGAAACUGGCAAACUGGAGUGUGUGAGAGGAUAGUGGAAUUCCAGGUGUAGGAGUGAAAUCCGUAGAUAUCUGGAGGAACAUCAGUGGCGAAGGCGACUAUCUGGCACAUAACUGACGCUGAGGAGCGAAAGCGUGGGUAGCAAACAGGAUUAGAUACCCCUGUAGUC
rnacentral:rRNA from 1 species